rnacentral:rRNA from 1 species
GACGAACGCUGGCGGCGUGCUUAACACAUGCAAGUCGAGCGGAGCGGCGAACGGGUGAGUAACGCGUGAGUAACUGCCCCCCUCUCUGGGGUAACAGUUGGAAACGGCUGCUAAUACCGGAUAGUGGGGGAUGACUCGGGUCCUAUCAGCUUGUUGGUGGGGUAGUGGCCUACCAAGGCGCCGACGGGUAGCCGGCCUGGGAGGGCGACCGGCCACAUGGGGCUGAGAUACGGCCCAGACUCCUACGGGGGGCAGCAGGCGGGAAGAUUGCAGAAUGGGGGAAAGCCUGAUGCAGCAACGCCGCGUGCGGGAUGACGGCGUUCGGGGUGUAAACCGCUUUCAGCCAUGAAGCGGUAGUGGCAGAAGAAGCACCUGCUAACUACGUGCCAGCAGCCGCGGUAAUAC